AGUGAACGCUGGCGGCAGGCCUAACACAUGCAAGUCGAACGGCAGCACAGCAGUAGCAAUACUGUGGGUGGCGAGUGGCGGACGGGUGAGGAAUACAUCGGAAUCUGCCUUAUCGUGGGGGAUAACGUAGGGAAACUUACGCUAAUACCGCAUACGACCUACGGGUGAAAGCGGAGGACCUUCGGGCUUCGCGCGAUAAGAUGAGCCGAUGUCGGAUUAGCUAGUUGGCGGGGUAAAGGCCCACCAAGGCGACGAUCCGUAGCUGGUCUGAGAGGAUGAUCAGCCACACUGGAACUGAGACACGGUCCAGACUCCUACGGGAGGCAGCAGUGGGGAAUAUUGGACAAUGGGCGCAAGCCUGAUCCAGCCAUGCCGCGUGGGUGAAGAAGGCCUUCGGGUUGUAAAGCCCUUUUGUCCGGAAAGAAAAGCACUGGGUUAAUACCCUGGUGUUCUGACGGUACCGGAAGAAUAAGCACCGGCUAACUUCGUGCCAGCCGCCGCGGUAA
rnacentral:rRNA from 1 species